CGCCAUUACUGCCUCUCAACAACAUCAACACAAUCAAAUAGCAUUUCCAGAUCCACCAUGACCGCAUCUCCAUCUUCGAUCUUCAAUUCUUCAAUUCCAGAUAGCUAGCUAGGUGGAUGCUCCUCGUUAACGAUAUAUAUGAUUCAAUUCGAUUCCUUCCUCAGAUUAUGUCUGCAGGUCAGAUACAUACGAUGCUUUAUAUGGAUGUGUUGAAUUGAAUUGGAAUAUGAGGCGAUUGUGCGUUUGUGUGUAAAUGUAUCGAUGAUAGAUUUGCAGAAUUAUAUAUGUAGAAUUUCCUAAAACGGAAAUUAAAGAUUCAUGUAUGCAUGUUUAUCUCUUUUAUACCUGCAAUCGGAGCUUCUCCACUUCUGAUUAGAGACAAGUUCGGAGCUUCACGCUA